rnacentral:rRNA from 1 species
GACGAACGCUGGCGGCGUGCCUAAUACAUGCAAGUCGAGCGCUCAAGGUUGGUACUUGUACCACCUGGAUGAGCAGCGGACGGGUGAGUAACGCGUGGGGAAUCUGCCUUUGAGCGGGGGACAACAUCGGGAAACGAAUGCUAAUACCGCAUAAAAACUUUAAACACAAGGUUCAAGAGUGAAAGAUGCAAUUGCAUCACUCAAAGAUGAUCCCGCGUUGUCUUAGCUAGUUGGUGAGGGAAAGGCUCACCAAGGCGAAGAUAGAUAGCCGACCUGAGAGGGGGCUCGGCCACUCUGGAACGGAGACAGGGUCCAGCCUCCUACGGGGGGCGGCAGUGGGGAUCUUCGGGCAUUGGGCGAAGGCCUACCGGGGCACGCCGCGGUGGUGGAGGAGGGUCUCCGGUCGGUAAACCCCUGUUAUUGGGGAGAAAGAUGGUUGGAGGGGACUGCGCAUCAAUUGACGGUAACUAAUCAGAAAGGGACGGCUAACUACGUG